rnacentral:rRNA from 1 species
AGCAGCCGCCGCGGGAAUACGUAGGGUGCAAGCGUUAAUCGGAAUUACUGGGCGUAAAGCGUGCGCAGGCGGUUAUAUAAGACAGAUGUGAAAUCCCCGGGCUCAACCUGGGAACUGCAUUUGUGACUGUAUAGCUAGAGUACGGCAGAGGGGGAUGGAAUUCCGCGUGUAGCAGUGAAAUGCGUAGAUAUGCGGAGGAACACCGAUGGCGAAGGCAAUCCCCUGGGCCUGUACUGACGCUCAUGCACGAAAACGUGGGGAGCAAACAGGAUUAGAUACCCGCGUAGUCCCUGUCUCUUAUAC